CCCAGACUCCUACGGGAGGCAGCAGUGGGGAAUAUUGCACAAUGGGGGGAAACCCUGAUGCAGCGACGCCGCGUGAGUGAAGAAGUAUUUCGGUAUGUAAAGCUCUAUCAGCAGGGAAGAUAAUGACGGUACCUGACUAAGAAGCCCCGGCUAACUACGUGCCAGCAGCCGCGGUAAUACGUAGGGGGCAAGCGUUAUCCGGAUUUACUGGGUGUAAAGGGUGCGCAGGUGGCAGGGCAAGUCAGAUGUGAAAGCCCGGGGCUCAACCCCGGUAUUGCAUUUGAAACUGUCCGGCUAGAGUGCAGGAGAGGUAAGCGGAAUUCCUAGUGUAGCGGUGAAAUGCGUAGAUAUUAGGAGGAACACCAGUGGCGAAGGCGGCUUACUGGACUGUAACUGACACUGAGGCACGAAAGCGUGGGGAGCAAACAGGAUUAGAUACCCCAGUAA
rnacentral:rRNA from 1 species